CAUACGACCGUACCGCAAACCGACACUGGUGCGCGAGAUGAGUAUUCUAAGGCGCUUGAGAGAACUCAGGAGAAGGAACUCGGCAAAUUGACACCGUAACUUCGGAAGAAGGUGUGCCCUAUUAGUGUGUAGUGAACAACGAAGCAUGAAUGGGUUGCAAAAAAUCGGUGGCUGCGACUGUUUAUUAAAAACACAGCACUCUGCAAACACGAAAGUGGACGUAUAGGGUGUGACGCCUGCCCGGUGCUGGAAGAUUAAAUGAUGGGGUGCAAGCUCUUGAUUGAAGUCCCAGUAAACGGCGGCCGUAACAAUAACGGUCCUAAGGUAGCGAAAUUCCUUGUCGGGUAAGUUCCGACCUGCACGAAUGGCGUAACGAUGGCCACACUGUCUCCUCCUGAGACUCAGCGAAGUUGAAAUGUUUGUGAUGAUGCAAUCUCCCCGCGGAAAGACGGAAAGACCCCAUGAACCUUUACUGUAGCUUUGUAUUGGACUUUGAACAGAUCUGUGUAGGAUAGGUGGGAGGCUUUGAAGCAGGGUCGCUAGAUCUUGUGGAGCCAACGUUGAAAUACCACCCUGGUGUGUUUGAGGUUCUAACCUAGGUCCAUUAUCUGGAUCGGGGACAGUGCAUGGUAGGCAGUUUGACUGGGGCGGUCUCCUCCCAAAGCGUAACGGAGGAGUUCGAAGGUACGCUAGUUACGGUCGGACAUCGUGACGAUAGUGCAAUGGCAUAAGCGUGCUUAACUGCGAGACUGACAAGUCGAGCAGAUGCGAAAGCAGGACAUAGUGAUCCGGUGGUUCUGUAUGGAAGGGCCAUCGCUCAACGGAUAAAAGGUACUCUGGGGAUAACAGGCUGAUACCGCCCAAGAGUUCAUAUCGACGGCGGUGUUUGGCACCUCGAUGUCGGCUCAUCUCAUCCUGGGGCUGUAGCCGGUCCCAAGGGUAUGGCUGUUCGCCAUUUAAAGAGGUACGUGAGCUGGGUUUAAAACGUCGUGAGACAGUUUGGUCCCUAUCUUCCGUGGGCGCUGCAGAUUUGAGGAAGCCUGCUCCUAGUACGAGAGGACCGGAGUGGACACACCUCUGGUGUAUCGGUUGUCACGCCAGUGGCAUUGCCGAGUAGCUAAGUGUGGAAGAGAUAACCGCUGAAAGCAUCUAAGCGGGAAACUCGUUUCAAGAUGAGAUCUGCCGGGGCCUUGAGCCCCCUAAAGAGUCGUUCAAGACCAGGACGUUGAUAGGUCAGGUGUGGAAGC
rnacentral:rRNA from 1 species